AGAGUUUGAUCCUGGCUCAGAUUGAACGCUGGCGGCAGGCCUAACACAUGCAAGUCGAACGGUAACAGGAAGAAGCUUGCUUCUUUGCUGACGAGUGGCGGACGGGUGAGUAAUGUCUGGGAAACUGCCUGAUGGAGGGGGAUAACUACUGGAAACGGUAGCUAAUACCGCAUAACGUCGCAAGACCAAAGAGGGGGACCUUCGGGCCUCUUGCCAUCGGAUGUGCCCAGAUGGGAUUAGCUAGUAGGUGGGGUAAAGGCUCACCUAGGCGACGAUCCCUAGCUGGUCUGAGAGGAUGACCAGCCACACUGGAACUGAGACACGGUCCAGACUCCUACGGGAGGCAGCAGUGGGGAAUAUUGCACAAUGGGCGCAAGCCUGAUGCAGCCAUGCCGCGUGUAUGAAGAAGGCCUUCGGGUUGUAAAGUACUUUCAGCGGGGAGGAAGGGAGUAAAGUUAAUACCUUUGCUCAUUGACGUUACCCGCAGAAGAAGCACC
rnacentral:rRNA from 1 species